rfam:Leptosomus discolor contig25559, whole genome shotgun sequence.
CCAAAGGCUCUGUUAAGAGCCACCGAUUCUUUUAUGUGAAAAUCUUU